AUUGAACGCUGGCGGCAUGCUUUACACAUGCAAGUCGAACGGCAGCGCGGGGCAACCUGGCGGCGAGUGGCGAACGGGUGAGUAAUACAUCGGAACGUACCCAGAAGUGGGGGAUAACGUAGCGAAAGUUACGCUAAUACCGCAUACGUUCUACGGAAGAAAGUGGGGGAUCUUCGGACCUCAUGCUUUUGGAGCGGCCGAUGUCUGAUUAGCUAGUUGGUGAGGUAAAGGCUCACCAAGGCGACGUGCAGUAGCUGGUCUGAGAGGACGACCAGCCACACUGGGACUGGGAUACGGCCCGGACGCCUACGGGAGGCAGCAGUGGGGAAUCUUGGAGAAUGGGCGCAAGCCUGAUCCAGCAAUGCCGCGUGAGUGAAGAAGGCCUUCGGGUUGUAAAGCUCUUUUGUCAGGGAAGAAACGGCUGAGGAUAAUACCUUCGGCUAAUGACGGUACCUGAAGAAUAAGCACCGGCUAACUACGUGCCAGCCGCCGCCGUAA
rnacentral:rRNA from 1 species